rfam:Phascolarctobacterium sp. YIT 12067 genomic scaffold Scfld88, whole genome shotgun sequence.
CGCAACCGCUAGGGGCGCAAUUUGCUGAGAGGACUUACAUCCGACCCUUUGAACCUGAAUCUGGUUAAAACCAGCGUAGGAAAGCGAGCAGAUUUCUGC